UCCGGUCGUCCGCGUAUAGACGUCGUGAGAAUUCCGUUGGUCCAGAUUUGUGUUUUAAAAGUUUUUCAUUUUUUUUUUUCUAUUCUCAAACAAUGAAAACGGCGUACACGGAAUACAGCCACAGCCGUAUUUUUUUUUUAAAAUCAUAUUGAUUUUACAAUCAAUGAUGCGUGUGUUUUUCGUUUCACCGUCUUUUGAAACAGAAAGAAAAAUGAUUCAAUUUUCAAUUUUCGAUAAUGGUUUCCGUUAUGCUAACGAAAUCAUACACGUAUAGACCGUUGAAAUUUUACGUGUCUUCGGUUCAAGAUUGAAACGAAAAGAUUGAAAAAUUAUUAAAAAACCAGCAGUCAUAUUUAUAUAUACAGAUAUAAUCGACUGUAUGCACGGGAACAUUGGGCGUAAUAUUGAAACGAUAAAAAAAUGUAAUGACGUGUUGAAAAUAAUAUUCAACAACCUUAAAAUGAAGUUUGCUUCCAAAGAAAGUAAUUUAAACUCAAUAAUAUAUAAAUACAUUAUUUGUACAUAAAAAAAAAACACUUAUAAAGUAUAUAUAGUCGUACGCGGUUGUUCGUUUGUUUAGGGAAAACGGAAAAGUUGAUUCGCAAACACGGAGACGUGGAUUGAAACCCUAGAAAAGUAGAUGUAAUAAAGAACACUGCGAAUAUUAUUUGCUUGGACUUUGGAGAUGAGUCCAGACAUAGACACUGUUCCGCCGGAAAGUAUGUGAAAAAUCCCGCUGUAUCUGUUGAUCUCCAAGUACCGAUGGUUUCCUAUGUUCCACCGUCAAGACCGUUGCAGUUUACGGGACUGCCGACGCCACUGCCUACACCGUCUUCGAAAACAUACGGUACCUACUCCGUUAUUUAUAACCGUGUCGAAAAGGACGGCUGUUUUAGAUUCUCAUCUGGUCGCCAGUGAUAAAAUUUACUACCGUCUACACAUUACAAAGGAAAUGAUGAAGUCUGUGGUCCUAAAGCCGGCUGGCUAACGAAAGAUAAAAAUGAGAAGAAAAAUUGUUAUAAAUCGACGGCUACAAAGCAAAAGGGGCUAAGCGAAGUUUUUCGAGGGUUUCAAGAGAGGCAAAAACGUGUUUUUUAUUGUUUAUACUUUCAAACAGUUAGAACUUUUUUUUUACAAGUAAAUUAAUACAUUAUAUUAAUCUUUAUAAAAAUGAUUGUGUACAAUAAUGUACAUAAUAAAUAAACAUUUUUCGAAGACAUAAAAAUAAUCUUAAUCAUACAAUUGUUUCUAACAAUAUAAUUAUUGUUUUUUAUCUAACAAUAACUAACUUUUAAGCAGUUAAUAGUGUUAUUUAGAGACAUACAUUAAUAUCAUUAAUAUUUUGUGUAAAAGUUUACAAGGCGCCAAUAAUUGGAAUAAUAUUUUAUUUUCAGAAAAAGUUCACAGAAUUAUUGCAAUUAUUAAUUCAGUUAAAAAUGUUUUACACUAUUACCUUUAUUGUGAAAUUGUAUACAAUAAAUUGACAAUAAUUUAGUAA